GCCCGACUAGCUCAGUCGGUAGAGCAUUCGACUUGUAAUCUCAGGGUCGUGGGUUUGAGUCCCACGCUGGGCG